GACGAACGCUGGCGGCGUGCUUAACACAUGCAAGUCGAACGGAAAGGCCCUGCUUUUGUGGGGUGCUCUAGUGGCGAACUGGUGAGUAACACGUGAGUAACCUGCCCUUGACUUUGGGGUAACUUCAGGACACUGGGGCUAAUACCGGAUAGGAGCUCCUGCUGCAUGGUGGGGGUUGGAAAGUUUCGGCGGUUGGGGAUGGACUCGCGGCUUAUCAGCUUGUUGGUGGGGUAGUGGCUUACCAAGGCUUUGACGGGUAGCCGGCCUGAGAGGGGCACCGGCCACAUUGGGACGGAGAUACGGCCCAGACUCCUACGGGAGGCAGCAGUGGGGAAUAUUGCACAAUGGGCGGAAGCCUGACGCAGCAACGCCGCGUGCGGGAUGACGUCCUUCGGGUUGUAAACCGCUUUCGCCUGUGACGAAGCGUGAGUGACGGUAAUGGGUAAAGAAGCACCGGCUAACUACGUG
rnacentral:rRNA from 1 species